UGUAGGAAGAAUAUAAGGGCUCGCGGAUACGCCCGGUCAGUCCGCCAUGUAGGACGCGGCCCACCCAGGACCACCUUUUCUCUUUCUUUAUUUAUUCUUUUCUCUCUCUCUUCGUUUCCACCAAUCAUGUACAAGUGACCGAACAUAUGAGGAAGAAACUGAGGAGUGUGGAUGUAUGGACCGAUAAAUAGGGGUUCAAAAUGGACACGCCUGGUCAUUGACCGGGCGCGUUCGGGGGCGUUUAAUGAGUCAUAUUUGCUAAGUUCGGUUCUAGUUGCUCUUAUUCACAUACAUGAUUGCGCUGGAUUACCUUCCAUGUGAAAAGAGGAGGUAGAAAGAGGAGAUAAGAGGGGUCAUGUUCAAAUUGCUUAGAAAGAGAACCAGAAUUUUCUACAAAGGACCCACCAGGAAUUUGCGCAACGGUAUGCUUUCUUUUCUUUUCCUGGCAAGUGGUACAUAUAUUUCUGAAGCCAAAUUUGUUGUUUUUCCUCAUGGUUAAUGGCGUCAUGUACACAUUGAAUGUUUAAAAAAAGAACUGUUUCAAAGAAUUACAGUUUCUUGUAGAAAAGAUCGAUAAGUCAUGGCAUGAUCUUCCCUGGAAAGUAUGUUGAAAUGAAGAAAUUGUGCUCUCGCAAAAAAAAAAAUUGGAACGCUUCUCAUGUCACAAGUCACUACCAAAUCUUGUGAAUCUUUAAAUUGUUUGAAUAACCAAAUUAUUCACGUGAAAAACACAAGUAUGAACAAGCAAUAAACACAACCUAUCAUUACUUGAGUUUGUUCGGUUAGACAAAAUUAGCCAAAUCAUUCCAUGUGACCUUUAAACAUCCAUGGGUGGACCUAGUUGUACUAAAUUAAAGACACUUAUUUUGGGAUAGAGGGACUAUUAUAUACUUAACGCUAAAUAUCCAUCAAGUUGUUGCCAUUUUCAGACUAUUUGUUGAGAUUGUGAUGAUGUUUAGUGUAAACUUUGAACUGUGACACCUCCAAGCCUGCGAUUCUAGGUCCGCCACUGUAAGCAUCCUCAUGAUGACUCAUACUAGACCUUGUUUCGGACGUCCACGGUCAUGACCAGAGGCAACCACCACUUCCGACACGACAGUUGGGUGACAAUUGUACCAAUUUAUCGUAUCUUUGUAAGUUAAUUUGUAAAUUAAUUUGUGCUAAAUGCUUCUUCCAUCCCAAUUUAUGAAAUGAUCAUCAUUUUUUUGCGACUCAAUAUUGAAACAUCAAUUGUUGAUAAAUUACAUCUGAGUAAUGUGCAAUAUAUUAAAGGACCCCAAUAGCCAGCCUAUGUUCCCCAAGAAGGAUGGAAUUUGCAAAGGUUUUCCUUGGCAUUUUUAGUUAUAUGGGACGACAUUUUCUUCAUAACAAUAUGGCAUUUUGACGUAUAGAAGGCAAUGUUUUUUUCCAGAAAAUUGCCACCGUGUGAUUUUGAUCAGACGGCUAUGGGGGCAUUCUCGGGAACCUCCACCCCAGGGAACGCUCGCAAGUAACAUUAUCCUAUGCUAUCUGAAUCUGAUUUUCCCACAAGUGAAAAAACUUCUCUCAAAAACUGUUCUUCCAAUUAAAUUUUCCCAUUGGUUCCAAUUUAAUUGAAGGAUAAAACUUUUACUUUGCAGCGAAACUUUACAAUAUUCUAUUCAUAAGAAUUUCAUUUUUCUUUUAAAAGAGCACUUUUCUUUAUUUUGCAGCGGAAAACAUGAAUAAAAAAUUCAUGGACUUUAUAUUCUUUAUAGAAACUUUUAUUUGACCGAAUAAACAAAAUCAUGAACUUUUUAAUUUUCUUUAUAAAAUUCAUGAACUUUUCUUUUUCUGAAAAUUUUCUAUUUUCAUUUUCAGAAACUUUUCCUGUUUACUUUUCUAUUUUAUGAAGAAAAAAAAUUCGUUGAUAGUUUUUUGCACAGAAAAACUAUUUAAAAUCUGUCCAAAAUCUGGACAAAUAACAAAAAUAAAAUAAAACCGGCAGCCCAGCGCGCGCGGCUGGGCUUCCUUCUCUUUCGGCCCAAAGGCCUGGCGCAACCGCGCGCCUCCCUGGCCUGGUCUGCAGGCUCUCAGCCCAGCCUUCUUUCGGCCAUAAGGCCCAGCGCGGGGCGCGGCUCUCUGGCCUGUCUGCCGGCCAAAAGCCGAAGCCACUUUCGGCCUACUAGCCCGUCUGCGCUAGGGUUUCAUCAUUGACCGUCGAUCAGGAUCGGACGGUCCAGCGCCGAUUUCGCUGGAGGAAAACUGGGAGGGUUCCUCCCGAUCGAAACAUAGCCGCCCCAUUCGUCUCGUUCGACCCUUCUGCCUCUCUCUUGAUCUCUGGCUCACGUCGCCAGAGACGGCGUCUACCCGGCCGCCGGCAGCGGUUGCCACCGCGCCACCGUGCCGUGCGCACCUCUGUCUCCUUCCCCCCAUUCGCUUUCCACCCACCGCACCUCUCUCGCCCGCAACGCCCGGAUCCGGCUCCUCAAGCCACGCCGGCGCGGCGAGCCAGGGCGGAGCGGCGAGCUGGGGUAGCGCGGCGAGCUGUGGCCGGUCCCCUGCGAGCCAUCCACUUCCCCCUCCCCACUUCGAUUCUGCGAGAGAGGAGAAAACAGAGAGACUCGGUGGGGCUACCCCAUUCCUUUUCAGCGAGAGUAAGGGUGCGCGGCCAGAUCGCGCCGUGGCCAUCCUCCUCGCCGGUCACGCGUCCUCCCUCAGCGGUGAGCGCGCCACCGUCGAGGGACUUGGCCGCGGUGCUGGCCCUUUUUUUGUCUUUUACUUUUCUUUUCCGGCAAGCCGUUGAGCUAGCUCUGGUGGUUCUUCGUCCAACGCCUCGGCUUGCCGAUGCGCGUCCGGAUCGAGAGGAACGGCGCGGCCUUCCGGCGGCGCACUUUUCUUGCCCUUCUUUUUCCCCUCUUUUUCAUUUUGGGGUUAGGGUUCUUGGGGGGAGGGGAUUUCCUUUUCUUUUCUGUACCGAAAAUCCUAAACCAAUCUCUGGUUCUAAUACCAUUGAUAGAUGUCGUAGAUCGGUUAGGCUAGGAUUCCGGCAAUAGUAGUGAUAGGUAUUACCUUUUUCUUGGCCUGAGGAGCUCCCGCCGUUGGCCAUGGUGGAUGGCUACGGCGGUGAUGGCAGAGAGUGCGUGAGUGGCGGCGGUGGAGCUUCCCAUCGCUUUAGUGCCUCCCUCUGAAUCGGAUAGGGUUAGGAGUGGGGAACAGUGGCGGUGACGAACCUCGUACCCCGUGCCCCUGGUCCCCACCUCCUCUUUAUAGCACUGCACGACAGGGGCCCACCAGCCUUGCUUGGGCUGGACGCCCCCGAUCAGGGCGUGGGUCAAGGGCCCAGUGAGCCGUUGGGCCCAUUGAUGGAGAGAUCAAUCUAACAAAUCUCCCUUGUCUCAAUUCACUUAACCCUAGGGGAAGGAUGGCAUGUCUUCUUUUUUAAGAACCAAACAUGACUGAUUCUUACAACUAUCAAUUUUUUAUAUUAUAGCUUAACACACAUAGUGGCUGACAGAUCUUUACUAAGCGUGACUGUGCAGAGUGAUCUUCCUUGGUACUCGAACCCUAUAAUGAAGCACUGUCAGCUUGAACACUCCAACGGCCAUAAAUCGUGAUAUGGGACAACUCAAUGCAUGAAACCAUUGCAUUGGCUUCGAAGGGCGGAUUGACGGUGGGAUGGCAGACGGUAGUGUCACGGGUGGCACUGGAAGCGCUCGGGUACAUAGGAGUUUAGAUUAGAUAGUUGUAAUUGAUUUUAAGGGCUUAUAAGAAAGUGUGUGUUAACUGUUUCCAAAACCUCUGUUUUCUUCUCUUGGGCUUGGUGAUGGCCUGCGACACCAAAAAAUUUUGUGCCGCGUUAACAUCACCUUCAUGUAAUUUAACCUUCAGUCACUCGGGGCCAUCAUGUUUUGAAUGAAUAAGGUAGAAAAUGAUAUACCUUCUCUUUCAAAAAAAGAAAAGAAAGAAAGUGUGUGUUUUAAAUGAUUACCGGUGCAAGUUGUUCUGUUUUUCUUCUCUUGAUUAGUUUGUAUAAUUUUUUGAGUUAUAAAUUAUAAGCAAUAUUCUUUGCUAGGUAUAGUGUAUAUUUGGCCAUACUUGCGUUGAGCAAGCUCACUGGACAGUUAAACUUGAAGCAACCUUGAUAUCCAUUAGUAGUAUUAUCGCUGUUGAUACAUCAGCCUUCGUUUGUUGAAUGGUAUGCCCUUUCCUAGUUUUUUCUUCUAUUUCACUCGAUCCAAUUUGACUUUGCCAUGUAAAUGUAAAAACGUAGCCUUUUUCAGUUUGCUGUCAUUUAUCUAGAAACUACUUUGCCCUACAGGUGUAUGAUGGGUUAUUAUAACUUUUUACUUUCCAACGAGUAUAGUAGUUGUCCUGUUUGGUGUGUACAUCAAGAGACUCCUACGGAAGCCUGUCAGAACUUAGGAGCCAUCCAGCUUAUGGUGUAACUACUGCUGGGAAACCUUAAGGUUGCCAUCGAUGUAACAGAAUCACCCUGAUAAAAAAUGUGUCAGAUCACAAAUCAACUGCGAGCUUAUUUAUUUUUAUCUCUGUCAAAGUAACCAUUAUAAAUUUAUAGACACGCUUGCUUCCCCUACGUUGCAUGUUUGUUGAAUGAAAAAAUCAUUCAUCUUGUUUGCAUUUUUUUCAGACAAGUGAUUGGAAGGAAGUAAAUCAUGUCAUCGUGUUAUCCAUUUUCUGUUUCAGCCAUGCAUGUGGCUGUACUCCUUCGAUUAACGUAAGCUAUAAGAAGACUCUCGAGGGUGCUUUAGCUUCUGUUUCAGCCAUGCAUGUGGCUGUACUCCUUCGAUUAACGUAAGCUAUAAGAAGACUCUCGAGGGUGCUUUAGCAUGUGCUUAUGCGACUCUUUCGCUGGCCAAGACCACUGUUGAGAUUAUGUCGCUGAAGCGGAAGUUAACCACUAUCCAUGGCUUACUUUGAUAUCCACGUACAUUGAAUUUGCAACAUUGAAAAGAUGGUUUGUGUGGAUGCAUCAGAGCACAUGUGGACUCCAAAAUCUAUGAUAUCAAUGCUGUGAAGACAUUGGAAUAUUUGCGACUUCUCCUACUAAUGAUAUGCCGAUGUAGCAAAUUUCUGGAGCUGUUUAGGGGACAUUAUUAUAAGACCCUGCUGUUAUAAAAUAACUAUGAAUUGGGCUUUGCUGUCUAAUAAAGCAUUGUUUUACCCA